GCAGUAAAUGUGGAGCCGUAGCGAAAGCGAGUCUGAAUAGGGCGUUUAGUAUUUGGUCGUAGACCCGAAACCAGGUGAUCUACCCUUGGUCAGGUUGAAGUUCAGGUAACACUGAAUGGAGGACCGAACCGACUUACGUUGAAAAGUGAGCGGAUGAACUGAGGGUAGCGGAGAAAUUCCAAUCGAACCUGGAGAUAGCUGGUUCUCUCCGAAAUAGCUUUAGGGCUAGCCUCAAGUGAUGAUUAUUGGAGGUAGAGCACUGUUUGGACGAGGGGCCCCUCUCGGGUUACCGAAUUCAGACAAACUCCGAAUGCCAAUUAAUUUAACUUGGGAGUCAGAACAUGGGUGAUAAGGUCCGUGUUCGAAAGGGAAACAGCCCAGACCACCAGCUAAGGUCCCAAAAUAUAUGUUAAGUGGAAAAGGAUGUGGCGUUGCCCAGACAACUAGGAUGUUGGCUUAGAAGCAGCCAUCAUUUAAAGAGUGCGUAAUAGCUCACUAGUCGAGUGACACUGCGCCGA
rnacentral:rRNA from 1 species